GAUGAACGCUGGCGGCGCGCCUAACACAUGCAAGUCGAACGGUUAAAGCACCUUUUAGGUGUGUAUAAAGUGGCGAACGGCUGAGUAACACGUGGGCAACCUGCCCUCCUCUUGGGGAUAGCCUCGGGAAACCGAGGAUAAUACCCGAUACUUCAAUGUGGCCGCAUGACGACAUUGAGAAAGCUUUUGCGGAGAAGGAUGGGCCCGCGGCCUGUUAGCUUGUUGGUGGGGUAGAGGCCUACCAAGGCAAUGAUGGGUAGCUGGGUUGAGAGACCGACCAGCCAGAUUGGGACUGAGACACGGCCCAGACUCCUACGGGAGGCAGCAGUGGGGAAUCUUGCACAAUGGGCGAAAGCCGGAUGCAGCGACGCCGCGUGCGGGACGAAGGCCUUCGGGUUGUAAACCGCUUUCAGCAGGGACGAGGCGAUAAGUGACGGUACCUGCAGAAGAAGCCCCGGCUAACUACGUG
rnacentral:rRNA from 1 species